rnacentral:tRNA from 1 species
UCCGAAUUAGUGUAGGGGUUAACAUAACUCGCUUUCACCGAGUAGCCCCGGGUUCGAUUCCCUGGAUUCGGAA